AUGCCCUCACAGCCGGAUCAUCCUAGUCUUACAAAAAUCCAGCAGUCACAUUUCAAAAUCCACUUCCUUGUCCAUGGUUGAGCACAACAAAUCCCAACUCUAUUGUUUCGCCUGCGAAAAAUCAGUACAAUAAGAGAAUAAGCCCCACACGGCAACUACUUUAGUAGUACCAUAGAAGAUCCUAUUAGCAGCAGCCUCAGGGUGAAGGUAUCAACCAAAGCACAUGCUCAAGUAUUUGGUGCGGUCAACUUUGGAAACUCAAAAAGGUGAGCUAACUCAUGUUAAAUUAUCUUGGAAAAGGAAUAAAAAAGGUAGGUCCAAAGUUCAAACCAAAGGGAGUUAGGUUGAAUUCAAACUCUAGCUACCCUGAAAACACUGGAUCACCUAACUUUAGAUAGCACCAGUAGAUGGGAAGGCUGAGCCGCUGAGGCACAUGUACACCCAGCUCUACCUUAAGCCUCCACUUUUUUUUUUUAUUGUAAACUCUAACUGAAUCAAAUGUUUUUACAACCCCUUAAUUUAAAAUCCUAAUGCUAUCCAAAAGAUUUGAGUUACCUGCAGUCAGGGCAAUCAUACAUUCCCGCAGCCAAAGAACAUAACCCGUUUGAUCAAGAUCGGUCAGCUCAUAAAUUUCAUCAAGAUCAGACGGCACAGAUAAACUUAAAAUUUUAGCUGUGUCAGAUCUUUGAUCGAACGACUCAAAUUCCUUGAUUGCGUGAAUUUACAAAUACCCUGACUGCAGGGAAUUCAAAUUCAUCCAUGAACACCCUAAACAAAUUAUCUCUUUGCAAUGUAUUCUCCAACCAAUAAUAUGUAACGCUAUCAGUGUUUCAUGUUUUGAAUGAAAAUAGCAUUUUCUUGAAGUGGUAAAUGAUAUGGCCAAAGGGUCAAUAAACAAUGAGAGUGACGGAUAUUCGAUUACACUAUAAAAUACCUGUGAAUAUAAGAAGGUUCCGAAGACAGCAAUAGCAGCUCCAAGAGCAUUGACGGGCUGAACUGGUGUUUGGAAGAUGAUAAUUGAAGACACUAUGACGGAUAUACGUUUCAUGGUGUUUCCGAUGCUAAAUGUCAAGGGAGAGAUCUCAUCCAGAGACAUGUAUGACACCUGAUUGUAUAGAUGAUAGAAUACACUCUGAGCUGCUACCCACCUGUUACCAGCCAUAUGUUUAGUCGUAGUAUGGAGAGGCGUGGAAACUUUCAAAACCAAAAUUAGAGGAUGAGAACAACAGAUAACACAAUCAGAACAAGGAUGGAUAAACCCUAUUUUCUGAUAUAAUAUUCAAACACAUGAACCAGAUAUCAUUAAUGACAGUGAACUGCACUAAUGGUUUAGCCUUUCAUUUUAA